rnacentral:tRNA from 1 species
GCUCUUAUCGUCUAGUCUGGUCUAGGACAUCACGUUCUCAACGUGAAGACCCGGGUUCAAAUCCCGGUGAGAGUA